rnacentral:rRNA from 1 species
GACGAACGCUGGCGGCGUGCUUAACACAUGCAAGUCGAACGGAAAGGCCCUGCUUUUGUGGGGUGCUCGAGUGGCGAACGGGUGAGUAACACGUGAGUAACCUGCCCUUGACUUUGGGAUAACUUCAGGAAACUGGGGCUAAUACCGGAUAGGAGCUCCUGCUGCAUGGUGGGGGUUGGAAAGUUUCGGCGGUUGGGGAUGGACUCGCGGCUUAUCAGCUUGUUGGUGGGGUAGUGGCUUACCAAGGCUUUGACGGGUAGCCGGCCUGAGAGGGUGACCGGCCACAGUGGGAGAGAGAUACGGCCCCGACGCCUAAGGGAGGCAGAAGGGGGGAAUAUUGCACAAUGGGCGGAAGCCUGAUGCAGCAACGCCGCGGGCGGGAUGACGGCCUUCGGGUUGUAAACCGCUUUCGCCUGUGACGAAGCGUGAGUGACGGUAAUGGGUAAAGAAGCACCGGCUAACUACGUG